rnacentral:rRNA from 1 species
CUUGCUACUUUGCCGGCGAGCGGCGGACGGGUGAGUAAUGUCUGGGAAACUGCCCGAUGGAGGGGGAUAACUACUGGAAACGGUGCUAAUACCGCAUAACGUCUUCGGACCAAAGUGGGGGACCUUCGGGCCUCACACCAUCGGAUGUGCCCAGAUGGGAUUAGCUAGUAGGUGGGGUAACGGCUCACCUAGGCGACGAUCCCUAGCUGGUCUGAGAGGAUGACCAGCCACACUGGAACUGAGACACGGUCCAGACUCCUACGGGAGGCAGCAGUGGGGAAUAUUGCACAAUGGGCGCAAGCCUGAUGCAGCCAUGCCGCGUGUGUGAAGAAGGCCUUCGGGUUGUAAAGCACUUUCAGCGAGGAGGAAGGCAGUCGUGUUAAUAGCACGGUUGAUUGACGUUACUCGCAGAAGAAGCACCGGCUAACUCCGUGCCAGCAGCCGCGGUAAUACGGAGGGUGCAAGCGUUAAUCGGAAUUACUGGGCGUAAAGCGCACGCAGGCGGUUUGUUAAGUCAGAUGUG